rnacentral:lncRNA from 1 species
GUGAGUGCUCACGAGGAGAGGGGGGACCCACAGAGGGCGGGGGGCACCUACAGAGGCUGGGAGGCACCCACAGAGGCUGGGGGUACCCACAGAGGCCGAGGGCACCCACAGAGGCCGGGGGGCACCCACAGAGGCCGGGGGCACCCACAGAGCAGCAGGACCUCUGCUGGGGACAGGAGGGAGAUGGGCACCAUGGGCUGGGCUGCUGCCAUCGAGACCCCUGCCUCAGCACUGCUCUCUAAAGUAGCUCCCAUGCCAGCAGCUCCUUUGCAGGAGGAGCAGCCAGGAGUGCAAGAGCUUGCUGGGACACCUUCCUACUCCAAGUGCAAAGUCAGUAAGUGGAUCUUCAUGGGAGUCUCAGACCGGCUCCCUCCACUUACCCAUAUCUCAUCUGUGAAGGGAAUAGGGUUGUACCCUGUGGUGCCCAAGGCCUGGCAGAGCCCACGCUGUGCAGGGCACUGUACGGAGAUAAUAAUAAGAGAGGCUCUUCCCUCUGGGGGCUUCCAUUCUCCUGGAGAAAGUCCAGUUAAGGGUCGGCCCCGGACUUGAGAGUGUGUUAGAGGGAGUGAAUGUCCUCCGCCCACCCGGGUCAGCACCUUCUCUCCAACUGAGGGACUUAGAAAGGAGCCGGGGCACUGGCAGGUGCCGUGAUUAGAGAAGCCAAAGGAGCCCGGGUUCCAGCCAAGCUCCAAAGGAAAUUCGGGAUCCUGGAGGGAGAGAUGAGGUGGGAGCAGGCUGGGGGGAGAUGGCGGACAGGGCAAAGUCACAGAGGAAGGAAAGGAGCGUCAUGAGGAAUGCUGGACCGUGGGGAGUGUGGACUGGACACGCAGACCGGAGCCAGGAUGGGAAGGGCCUUGUUUGUACUUGAUCUCACUGGCAAUGGGGAGCCGCUGGAGUCUGUUGAGCUGGGAAGUGACGAGAUUUAUCCUUUAAGAAAGUCAUUCUGGCAGCUGGGAGGGGGAUAAGGAGGGAGCAGAGCCGGAGGUCACGUCAGGAGGCCGUUAGGAGGAGGUUGAGGUUCUGGACCACAGGGUAGUAGAGAGGGGACAGAUGCUGGGGAGACGAGAACUGCAACAUUUGGCAUCUAAUUGGGCCUGGGGGUGAUGAGAGAGAUGGGGGAGUAGAGGAUGAUUCCGAGGUACCAAACUGGGGGCUUUCCCGAGGAAGACCCGCCUGCUCUAGUCGGCCAUUUUCGCCAGCAUGAGCCCCUGUGAGUCUUACCCUGGCGUUCUCCAGGUCUCUGUCCUGAAAACUGAAGGCAGAGCCUGGUGAAAGGCCUGCCAGCCGAGGCAGGUUCCCUGGCACAGGCAGCGGAGGAGGCUCUAGUUAGGAUGUGCCGGGGGCAGCGCAAACCAGCCAGCAAGAGUCGGCAAGCGCCACAAAUCAGGCCUUGAUUUACUAUUCUGUCGAUCUCUAGGCUUAAGAAAGUGAUGAAGAAAUUGUAAACAAUGUGGGUGAUUUUUCAAAAUGGGUUGUGGGCACUUUUUUUCUUUUUCUUUUUUUGGUAGUUAAAUGUUUACCAGGGACAGAGUAACACGAUCAGCCCUACUGCCCUAUGGGAUGCCGUGAAUGAGUGGGAGCCCAGGCGGGCAGUGGGAUGUGCUCUCUCUAGUCAAAGAUCCAGAGCCCCUGGGGCCCAGGCUUAGAGCUUUCAAACCAAGGGACUGCUCUGGCAUCUGUCACAUCGGUAAGGAGGCAAUGGGGUCAGGAAGUCUCUAAAAAGGGGGAAGUCUCUGAAAAUGAACCGGGGGGCCCUGUUCUGGAUGAGGAACGUGAUAAUUAUAAGUGGGCGGCAUCAGCGAGCUCGCUGGAGCGCUUAAUCAGACCUGGGAUCUGACUGAGCUCAUAUUCUGUUUUGAGAACCCCAGAAACCCCCCCCCCCCCCGCCCAUGGCAUAGGGAGGAGAUGGAGGGAGGGAGGGAGACAUAAAUCAGAUGUCUGAUCUAUUUAUCCCUUUAGAUAAGGGAUCUUAUCUAACCCUGCCAAAAAGUUUAACGUUCAGGGGGCAGCCACAUCUAACCAGAACAGUGUGAGCCUUGGAUGGUUAACGGGUCACGGUCCUCCGAGAGUGGGGCCAAAGGCUCGCCCGCUCUUUCAGUUUCAGCAGGUUAGGGGGUCUCUUAGAGCUUCUUUAACUGUCCUUUUAAGGGUCGGUCCACAGACAUUGAGUAAGUUUGCUGGGAAAAUGAGUUAAACCGCCAUGUGGAUGGAAGCUAUUUAAGUAGUGGAGCACUCACCAAUGGAUUGACUCUGGUGGAAAGAAAGGCCCGAGAAGGGGCAAGGUCCAGAGCUCUGAUUCUUACUGCUACUGUUUUAGAAAAGAGAAAAAGAGUCUGAUCUUGUGUAUUUGUUGAUUGUUGUUGUUGUUGUUCGGAUGUUCGGUCAUGUCUGGUCCUUUGGACUCCUGGGACCAAGCCCUUCCAGCCUCCUCUAUCAUAGGAUCCAGUGGUUAAUGGUCUUUCCCCCACAAUCCGAGGGAAGAGGUAGCCUAGGCUAGAAUUACCCUCAUUAUAAAGAUGAAGAAACUGAGGUUCUGAGAGAAGACUUUCCCACAGUCCCAUGGUUAAUCAGGACUGAGGUGAGCUUUUUUGUAUCAGUGAGGAUGUAUUUCUUUCUUCCAAGAUGUUUUGUCCCUCUCUUUAAAGCCCCAGAGCCCUGCACUCAAUGGGCACUUAAUAAAUGCAGGUUGACUCAACUAAAUCUGAAGCAAAUGGGGUUCCUGUUAGACAUACAAAAACAUCCUAGAUUUAGAGGGGGAUAAGGAGGCUCUUUAUCCAACCCCUUCAUUUUUCAGAGCAUGACAUGACAUGUCCCCAGUAGGGCCCAGUAGGGCCAACUUUCAAACCCAGGACCUCAGAACACAUUUAACAUGCCCUCCCUGCAGCCCCUCCUCACUAUGGCAUUGAGGAAUGAGCUCUGUCCAGUCCCACUAAGUCAAAAUCCAGCUGAGGUCCAGUCCAGAUGGAUGGUAGGAGGCUCCUUACUCAUCGUUGGCUUGAAGAGACCACGGUAACUGGGAAGCCCUCGGCUCCAGAAGAGAAUGUGACCUACCUCUCUGAAGGGAGCUCGUUAGUGUUCACAUGGAUGAAAGGUUAGGUGCUUAAAUCCCCAAAGAAUCGAGAACGACAUAAAUGUAUGAAAGUGCACCAUAAUAUCUGCUUUGACUCAGUCAAUGAAUAAACAUUAAUUAGGAUCUUGCCGUGUGCCAGGGACCGUACUAAGGGCUGGAGAUAUAACAAGAGGCAAAAGACAUUCCCUACCCUUAAGAAGCUCAUGGGCUUAUGGGGGGGGGGGGGUGGGACAGCAUGCAAACAAAUAUUCUGCUCUACACAGGAUUUAAGAAGAGAAAACUCUGUUGAUUGUACAGGUACAACCUAGAUGAGAUGGCUUGUGGUCUUGGGAAGGGAAGGAGGGAGAAAAAAAAAUGGGAACUCAAAAAUCUUAAAAAAUGAAUACUUAGAAUUAUCUUUACUUGUAAUUGGAAACCGAAUAUGCUAUUAAAAGAAAAAAAAAGGAAAGCUCUAUGACUCGGGGGUCCACAAACUACGGCCCGCGGGCGAGAUGCGGCAGCUGAGGACGAUUAUCCCCCUCACCCAGGGCUAUGAAGUUUCUUUAUUUAAAGGCCCACAAGACAAAGUUUUUGUUUUUACUAUAGUCCGGCCCUCCAACAGUCUGAGGGACAGUGAACUGGCCCCCUAGUUAAAAAGUUUAGGACCCCUGCUCUAUGUUAAAGAAAACACACCGAAUUAAAUAGGAGAUAAUAAGGAGAAUGCGCUUUUUUUCCCUGGAGAAGUUGGGACUAAAAGGAAGUCAGGGAGGUCAGUAGGCAGAUGGGAGAAGGGAGACAGAAAAGACAGACAGAAAAAAUACCCAGAGCCAAGGGACAAAGGGCCUUGUUUGUAGAACAGCCAGGAGGUCAGUGCCGCCAAAUCCAAGAAUAUGUGUCAGAGAUUAAGGGAUAAGAAGACUGGAAAGAUAGGAUAGGGCUGGAUUAUGAAGGGCUUUGAGAAAAGCCCCGCUAUUGGCCAAUCCACAACUCUCUCUGUGAACAAGAAAGGAACCUUCAAUAAUUCUCAAAUCUGCCUUUCCUGCCCCGUUCUCUCAGCUGAACUCCAAUCUUGCAUCUCACGUUGCCAUUCAGAAUCUGGCACUGGAUGUCCAGCUGACAUUUUGAACUCACCAUGUUCAGGACAGCUCUCCUGAUCCUUCCCUCUAAAACCUCUCUCUCCUACCUUCCCCAUUACUGCAAAAGGCAAAACGGUUCUCCCAGCCCUCAGGCUCCCAAUCUUGAAGUCAUCCUGGACUCUUCACUAUCUCUCACUCCCCAUAUCCAAGCUGCGCCUGGGGUUGGUCAACUUGCUCUUUGCAGCUUCUCUCAAAUCCACCUCCUCUUCUCCCCUGCCUCUACCACCAUCUUGGGUGAAUCUGCAUGACCUCCUGCCUGGACUGGUGCCAUAGCAUCUGGGGCCUGCCUGCCUGGUGUCCCUCCGGCUCCACUCCAGUGUCCCUCCGGCUCCACUCCAGCCUCCUUCCGACCACUAAAGUGCUUUUUACUAAAGCACAAGCCCAACCACGUCACCCUCCUCCUCCAUAAACUCCAGUGGCUCCCAGUUGCCCUCUUUGAUAUUCAAAGCCCUUCACAACCCAACCCCAUCCUACACCUUAUUUCCACAUCCAGUGACUCUAACCUGGUUAUUCCAUAAAUAAGACUCUCCAUCUCUUACCUCUUGGCCCUUUCUCUGCCUUUCCCUCAUGCCUGGAAUGUUUUCCCUCUGCUUCCUGGUUCCUUUAAGCCUUCUGCAGCCCUUCCUUACCCCACCGCCUUCUCUCUGUGAAUUGCUUCCUAUUUAUUCUUGGAUAAUAUAGCUUUGAUUUGUUUGUUUGCUAUACCCCCCACUAGAUGAUAAUUGAGAGUAGGGACUAUCUUUUACUUUUUCUGUAUUUCCAGUGCUUAGCACAGUGUUUGGUGCAUAGUAGGUACCUAAUCAAUGUUUACUGAUUUGAGUGUCCAAAUUGGGGUGAUAGCAUGGUGGGGAGGCUCCCACUUUCCCUAUUUGUCUGGACAAGUCCUGUUUCUGACACAAAGGAUGAGGGUAUGCUGCUUUUCAGGAGUUCCAGGAGAAAGAUUGGUGGAGAGUAAGGGGUCACCUGCCACCUUGGCCUCCCAUGCUCCAUUGAUAUAGAUCUUGUUUCUGGGAGGGGGUCAAACCCAUUGGGGUACAGGGAUUUUUCACUUCGGGGAGGCCGUGGACCCCUUCUCCGAAUCAUUUUUUCAGAUGUGUAAAAUACACGGGGUGACAAAGGAAACCAAUUAUAUUGAAAUGAAGUUCUCAAAAUAUUGGGGGGAGAAAAGCAAAAUUAUGGAUCCCAGGUUUUGGAGCAGUGGGACUGUCCCUGAGACUGCGGAAGGGGAGGCUGCCACAUUGUAGCCCGAUGGGGUAGAAUGACUAUAUUGGAAGCUUUCUACAGACCUGUCAGGGAGUACUUAGUUUAUUUUAAGGUGAUGCCUUUUAAAAGAAAGAAGUAGGAUGAUAUAGGAGAAAAUAUAUUGGAUUGGGAGCUGACACCUGGGUUCUGAUCCUAUUUCUACCUGGAUAAACUUGGAUAAAUCACUUUCCAAUAUCUGGUCCUCAGUUUCCCUUUUUGUAAAAUGAAGCAUUUGAAGUUAGAUUAGAGCCCUUCUUGCUCCGACACAUGAAACAUUCAAUUUUGGGUGACCCAUGACUACAGAAGGACAAGCUAAUGCAGGUGCUAGCUGAGAGACCCUCCUUUUGGUUCCUCCCCUAGCUAUGGACUCAGCCCUGUCUUGCCUCCAGCCUGUUCCAGCCUGUACUCUCUGUUAAUUUGGUUUAUACAAAAACUGCCCACUUCCCUUUCUGCUAUUUUGGCUUCCCAGGGGAACUAACAAAACGGUCCACCUUCUCGCUUUGACGGAUGUCCCUGCAGGUCUCUUUCUGCCUACCCCCACCAGCCUUGGGAUGGGCAUCCUCUGAGCCCCGGGCUCCUGGGGAUAUGUGAUCUCAGAUGCCAGAUCCUCCUCAUCACAAUUUGGACAAAACACCUCCCAUCCCUCUGAGUCCCGGCCCUCUCCUCUACAACCUCCAGGAGAGAGACUAGUUUCCCUGCUUCUGUUUUGGAUAUUUCCUGUUUUGCAUAUGCCUCCCCCUCUAGAGAACUUGUAAAUCCCCAAAUUUGCUAUGUGGGGUACUGCAGAAGUCUUGCUACUUCAUACACCAAGUGCUGCAGCUGUGGGGGUUCUCUCUGCAUGAGUUCUUACUCUGGGCAGUCAAUGCCUUUCCAAAUGAGUGAUUAUUGAGUAACUCAGCCUUCCCUUUAGGGCAAAGGAAAGGAAGGAAGUCCAUGCAAAGGAGCGAGGUGUCUAAAAUAAAUUUUUAUACAGUCAGCCACGGGCUCGGAUGAGUUAAAGACAGGCGUGGGAACUGUGUGCAGAAUGAUGUGAUAGGAGAGGGUGGGGGGCCCAAGGCCGGGUUUCAGUUUGCCAAGGAAUAUGGCUCACUAUGGUCAAAGCACUGAACCAAGCACUGAGGAUGCAAAAAAAGUCAAAAAAGCAGAGCCUGCCCUCAAGAAGC